rnacentral:pre_miRNA from 1 species
GGUGGGAUUACUGGGUCAUAUGGUAACUCUGGGUUUAAUUUUUUAGGAAACAGCCAAACUGUUUCCCGAAAUGGCUAUACCAUUUUACAAUCUCACAAAUAAU